AGUUUGAUCCUGGCUCAGGACGAACGCUAGCGACGUGCCUAAGAAAUGCAAGUCGAGCGAGGUUAGAGACUUCGGUUUCGAAUCCUAGCGGCGAACGGUCGCGUAACACGUAAGCAACCUGCCUCAAAGUGGGGGAUAGCCCUCCGAAAGGGGGAUUAAUACCGCAUGUGGACUAUCUAUGCAUGUAGAUAGCUCUAAAGCAGCGAUGUGCCUUGAGAUGGGCUUGCGGCCUAUCAGCUAGUUGGUGAGGUAACGGCUUACCAAGGCGACGACGGGUAGCUGGUCUGAGAGGAUGGUCAGCCGGACUGGGACUGAGAUACGGCCCAGACUCCUACGGGGGGCAGCAAUUAGGAAUCUUGCGCAAUGGGCGAAAGCCUGACGCAGCGACGUCGCGUGACCGAUGAAGUCUUUCGGGAUGUAAAGGUCUUUUGCAAGGGAAGAAGGAAUUGACGGUACCUUGCGAAUAAGCCCCGGCUAACUACGUGCCAGCAGCCGCGGUAAUACGUAGGGGGCGAGCGUUGUCCGAAUUCAUUGGGCGUAAAGCGCACGUAGGCGGACUUAUAAGUUAGUGGUGAAAUGCCGGAGCUCAACUCCGGAACUGCCUCCAAAACUGUGAGUCUAGAGGUAUGGAGGGGGAAGUGGAAUUCCUGGUGUAGCGGUGAAAUGCGUAGAUAUCAGGAGGAACACCCGUGGCGAAGGCGGCUUCCUGGCCAUAUCCUGACGCUGAGGUGCGAAAGCUAGGGUAGCGAACGGGAUUAGAUACCCCGGUAGUCCUAGCCGUAAACGAUGGAUACUAGGUGUUAGAGGCAUCGACCCCUCUAGUGCCGAAGCAAACGCAUUAAGUAUCCCGCCUGGGGAGUACGGCCGCAAGGUUGAAACUCAAAGGAAUUGACGGGGGCCCGCACAAGCGGUGGAGCAUGUGGUUUAAUACGUCACUAACCGUAGAACCUUACCCAGACUUGACAUCUGG
rnacentral:rRNA from 1 species